UACGUAGGGUGCGAGCGUUGUCCGGAAUUAUUGGGCGUAAAGGGCUCGUAGGCGGUUUGUCGCGUCGGGAGUGAAAUCCACUGGCUUAACUGGUGGCUUGCUUUCGAUACGGGCAGACUGGAGGUAUGCAGGGGAGAACGGAAUUCCUGGUGUAGCGGUGAAAUGCGCAGAUAUCAGGAGGAACACCGUGCGGAAGGCGGCU
rnacentral:rRNA from 1 species